GCGCACGUGGUUCAGUGGUAGAACGCCUUCCUGAUAAGAAGGAGGUCGAUGGUUCAAUUCCAUCCGUGCGCACGA
rnacentral:tRNA from 2 species